AAAUUAUUAUAAUUUUAUAUGCAGGAAAUAUGUGAUGAAAUUCUGUAACUAACAACAUUGAAAAGAGUUGUACUUUUUCAAAUAGGCAUGAAUCCAUGAAGUUCUGCUUUUUAAAAACCAUAAAAUUGAAUUUAUCUGCUUUCACCCUUUUAAUUGCUGGCCCAGGUGCUUUAAAAAUAUUACUAAAAUGAAGCUGAGAUGACAUUCUUUUUCAGUGUAGGUGUGUCUUAAUAUCAGCAGCUCUUUUUUUUCCAGGUUAUUUAUUUAUAACGACAACUUUUUGGUGAUGUUCUUUUGAACAUGUAAAGGCAUUCAACUUUGAGUCUUCGUGUCUGAUUCUUGAUUUCGAGCCCUUGCUGACGAAUCGCCUGGAGCGAGCUGAAACCCAGAGCAGGCAAUGGAGACCUUUAGCAGCUCUAGGGCCAGGCGGUCGGUGUGAGCAGGGUGACAUCUGUGUGUGCUCAGAGUAAUGCUGAGAGAAGCCGAGGGCCACGGUUCUUUUGUGCAUUGCUGCCAUCUGCUGCAUUUCACCGGCAGAAGUAAAUACUCCAUCAUGCUAGGUACUUGGCCCAUAAUAGUCAAUAAAGGAGACUACCUAAAAAUAGAGAUGAUAAAUCUGGCUUUGUGAUCAAAGAAGAAUCUGAGGUAUGACACAGAUCUGGCAUUUAUGUGGGUAAUUAUCUUGCACAAAAGAUAACUUUUUUUUUUUAAUACAACAAAAAGCUGAGGCUUGGAAAAAAAAUCUUUUUAUUGAUUAGAGAUUCUUGCCUGCUUCUGUAGGAACUGGUCUCUAGAUCGUUUGCCUGGGUUAUGAGUUAUCAUACCAGAUAAAUGUUCUCUAUGGAUCUCUGAGAAAAACUUUGCUUGUUUCUCAAUAUCCUUGUUUUCUUAGACACAUUUUGAUUUUUUCCAGUAAUUUUUAGCUGGAAAAUUCCUCAGACUGUAAGAGUGCAAGAAUUCCUGACAUUGUUCUACAGAAGUUGGGAAGAUUCAGGGACCACUAUUAAUGAAAACGUCCAACUGUCCCUAGAAUGAGGUGAAUAUAUAUUUAAUUAACCUGGUUGUCCUCACAGCAGUUGAAUGUCAGGUAGCAUUUG
rnacentral:lncRNA from 1 species